GACGGGGCUCUCCCGGCGGCCGGCGGGGCACGCUAGUGUUGGGGUCCCGCCGCCGUGAGGAUCGAGCUCGUGCGGGUCGGUCAGUCGUCGGGGCCUGCGCUGGGCCCGGGCCCAUGGCGGCGUCGGCGGCUCUGUCUGCGGCAGCGGCGGCGGCGGCUCUGUCUGGCCUGGCGGUGCGUCUGUCACGCUCAGCGGCCGCCCGAGGCUCGUACAGCGCCUUCUGCAAGGGGCUUACGCGCACGCUGCUCACCUUCUUCGACCUGGCCUGGCGGCUGCGCAUGAACUUCCCCUACUUCUACAUCGUGGCCUCAGUGAUGCUCAACGUCCGCCUGCAAGUGCGUAUCGAGUGAGCACCGGCGGCGGUGGCGGAGGCCCGGCUGAAGGGGCGCCCGUGUCCCCGCCCGCCCCCGGCCGCCGGGUCGCCGGCAUGAAGGACAGCUGGAUCGCGGCGGGGGGCGGAGGCGGGGCGGCCCAGGCCCCUGGACUCUAGACCUCCGCCGCCCAAGCACGAAGGCCCAGCCCUGGCCCGGCCGCGGUCUCAGCCCGGAGACCCCGGAUCGCGCAGAAACGCACUGAACAGGCCCCUACCAUCGGGCUCCAGAAACUACCUAGACUCGGCCUACCUGUUGCCUCACAUUGGCCAAAGAGGGGGAAACCAGAAGGAGGGAAUUGCUGCGGCGACUUGACUUUCCAGGCCCCGAGCAGAAAGGCAUUGGCGUUUGUUGGCGGUGACCUGCCCCUUCUUUGGCCUUGCCAAGAGUCUCAUCCCUGCCCUGGGGCACCUCUGGCCCUGGACCUGCUUGGGCAGAGGCAGCAUGAAGGACCUGAACAACAGAAGAAGGGCCUUCCUAGUAGAGGCACAGCAUGGACAAAGGCUCACGGGUGGGGGUGCCCAGGGAUCGAGUCCUGGCUUGGGAAGGAAGGUCUGAGUUCCCUGGGAACUGAAAUCUGCUGGCAGCACUGUGAGAGGUGUAUUUCCCCCUUCUAAUGACAGAGGAAACUGAGGCUUCGGGGGGGUGGGGGGUUGCCCUUGAUACACAGAUAGGAGGAGGAGGAACUGCGUGUGCCCCUGGGCCUGCAGGCCCCCACACCCCUCCCCAGUCUUCUCCAAGACCUGGCAUGGUGGGAGGAGGGAAGGGGAAGUGGAGAGGGAAGCAUAGGGCUCCUGGGGCACCAAGGGAGAAAGGGGCCUAGGGGUAGGGAAUCUGGCGAUCUCACUUUCUUUGGAGCAGUACGGAAGGUCACAGGGAAGAUCAGGAGGACAGACAGCUGAGAUGGGAGACAGAAGAGAUGGGCCCCAGGACCCUUGGGGCGCCAAGCUCUCCCCCACAGCCUAACCUCCCCACCCCACCUGGAGCUUCACCAAGGCUCCUUAGCAGUGCAGUGGCACAAGCCUCCCAG
rnacentral:lncRNA from 1 species